CCGGCCCCGGGCCCGGCUGCCGGACCUCAGCGCACGCGGCCCUCCCCAGCUCUGCCCAGCGCGGCUGCCGGGCCGGGGCUCCGGGCUCGCGACUUGGCGCGGCGGGGGCGGCAGCAGGUGUCCUCGGAGCGCCCGGCAGACGUGACGCAUUUGGCGGCGGGGAGGGGGGCUUUCUCUGUGGUCCGACGCUGUGUCAAGCUCUGCACCGGCCAUGAGUAUGCAGCCAAGAUCAUCAACACCAAGAAGCUGUCAGCCAGAGAUCACCAGAAGCUGGAGAGAGAGGCUCGGAUCUGCCGCCUUCUGAAGCAUUCCAACAUUGUGCGUCUCCACGACAGCAUCUCCGAGGAGGGCUUCCACUACCUGGUCUUCGAUCUGGUCACUGGUGGGGAGCUCUUUGAAGACAUUGUGGCGAGAGAGUACUACAGCGAGGCUGAUGCCAGUCACUGCAUCCAGCAGAUCCUGGAGGCUGUUCUCCAUUGUCACCAAAUGGGGGUCGUCCACAGAGACCUCAAGCCGGAGAACCUGCUCCUGGCCAGCAAGUGCAAAGGGGCUGCAGUGAAGCUGGCAGACUUCGGCCUGGCUAUC
rnacentral:sRNA from 1 species